ACCCCUACGGGAGGCAGCAGUGGGGAAUUUUGGACAAUGGGGGCAACCCUGAUCCAGCAAUGCCGCGUGAGUGAAGAAGGCCUUCGGGUUGUAAAGCUCUUUUGUCAGGGAAGAAACGGUAGUGGCGAAUAACUACUACUAAUGACGGUACCUGAAGAAUAAGCACCGGCUAACUACGUGCCAGCAGCCGCGGUAA
rnacentral:rRNA from 1 species